UGGGGAAUAUUGGACAAUGGGCGCAAGCCUGAUCCAGCCAUGCCGCGUGAGUGAUGAAGGCCCUGGGGUUGUAAACCUCUGUCCUUGGUGACGAAAAAAAUGACGGUAGCCAAGGAGGAAGCCCCGGCUAACUACGUGCCAGCAGCCGCGGUAAUACGUAGGGGGCGAGCGUUGUCCGGAAUUACUGGGUGUAAAGGGUAUGUAGGCGGCCCUUCAAGUCGCGUGUCAAAGUCCAGUGCUCAACGCUGGGGGUGCGCGCGAUACUGACGGGCUUGAGGGCUGGAGAGGUGAGCUGAAUGCCCGGUGUAGUGGUAAAAUACGUAGAGAUCGGGAGGAACACCAGCGGCGCAGGCGGCUCACUAGACAGUUUCUGACGCUAAGAUGCGAAAGCGUGGGGAGCAAACA
rnacentral:rRNA from 1 species